rnacentral:misc_RNA from 1 species
UUUCCGUAGGUGAACCUGCGGAAGGAUCAUUAUUGAAAUAAACCUGAUGGGUUGUUGCUGGUUCUCUAGGGAGCGUGUGCACGCCUUGUCAUCUUUAUAUCUCCACCUGUGCACCUUUUGUAGACCUUCUAGGUCUAUGUUGCUUUUUCAUUUACCCCAAUGUAUGUUAAUAGAAUGUUGUGACUAUGAAAACUAUACAACUUUCAGCAACGGAUCUCUUGGCUCUC